rnacentral:lncRNA from 1 species
CAAGAAUAUGUUUUAGCACAUUCAAUUUCGACAAUAACUGGAAAGGUGAUAAUUACAAAUGGAAAAAAAAACUAUAGUAGUUUAGAAUAUGAAAAAGUUAAAGAACGAAAUCCAUGAUCUUUGUUAAACUGAAGUGGAGAUCUUGAUUUUGCCUUUGCUCUGUCCACACAUGAUGAAUUGACAACAUUGUUUGGUUUGGGACAAAGAAAG